rnacentral:rRNA from 1 species
CACGGCCCAGACUCCUACGGGAGGCAGCAGUAGGGAAUCUUCCGCAAUGGACGAAAGUCUGACGGAGCAACGCCGCGUGAGUGAUGAAGGUUUUCGGAUCGUAAAGCUCUGUUGUUAGGGAAGAACAAGUGCGAGAGUAACUGCUCGCACCUUGACGGUACCUAACCAGAAAGCCACGGCUAACUACGUGCCAGCAGCCGCGGUAAUACGUAGGUGGCAAGCGUUGUCCGGAAUUAUUGGGCGUAAAGGGCUCGCAGGCGGUUUCUUAAGUCUGAUGUGAAAGCCCCCGGCUCAACCGGGGAGGGUCAUUGGAAACUGGGAAACUUGAGUGCAGAAGAGGAGAGUGGAAUUCCACGUGUAGCGGUGAAAUGCGUAGAGAUNGUGGAGGAACACCAGUGGCGAAGGCGACUCUCUGGUCUGUAACUGACGCUGAGGAGCGAAAGCGUGGGGAGCGAACAGGAUUAGAUACCCUGGUAGUCCACGCCGUAAACGAUGAGUGCUAAGUGUUAGGGGGUUUCCGCCCCUUAGUGCUGCAGCUAACGCAUUAAGCACUCCGCCUGGGGAGUANCGGUCNGCAAGACUGAAACUCAAAGGAAUUGACGGGGGCCCGCACAAGCGGUGGAGCAUGUGGUUUAAUUCGAAGCAACGCGAAGAACCUUACCAGGUCUUGACAUCCUCUGACAACCCUAGAGAUAGGGCUUUCCCUUCGGGGACAGAGUGACAGGUGGUGCAUGGUUGUCGUCAGCUCGUGUCGUGAGAUGUUGGGUUAAGUCCCGCAACGAGCGCAACCCUUGAUCUUAGUUGCCAGCAUUCAGUUGGGCACUCUAAGGUGACUGCCGGUGACAAACCGGAGGAAGGUGGGGAUGACGUCAAAUCAUCAUGCCCCUUAUGACCUGGGCUACACACGUGCUACAAUGGACAGAACAAAGGGCUGCAAGACCGCAAGGUUUAGCCAAUCCCAUAAAUCUGUUCUCAGUUCGGAUCGCAGUCUGCAACUCGACUGCGUGAAGCUG